CAUUAGUAUGUUGAUACUAAUACAAUAAUACGCAGAUACUUUUCCUCUUAUAUUAUCACACUUUUUAUAGUCGUGUAUAGUAAUUAUUCUUCGUUUAAACAUAUUGUCAGAGGUUAUCACAUAACACCGAUAAUACCGCGAUAAAACGGUAAGAAAAUAUGGGAAAGUAUGUCACGGGAAGUCGCGUACCUAAUUGCGUUAUAAAAGACAGCUCAUUAGUUUUUCACGAACUCAUAAUAGAGUUGACAACCUCACGAACUUACGCGUACGUCGUUUGACACGCGACGCAUGCUUAUUCGUACGCGACUGCCAAUUAUGUAUUUUCUCUCUGUAAAAUUAUUCAAUCCGAUCGGUGUUUUCCCAACUAGUCAGCUGCUAAUGUCUAAGGCAUUAUUCUUUUAUAUUCAGAGUUUACGUAAAUUUUCAGAGUAUAAAAGUACCAAAUUGCAAACUUAUAAAAAGUCAAAUUUCUAAAUUACGAAACUUCCGAAAUUCCAACUUUUCCAACCAUCGAGUUUCUAAAUUACAAAUUCACGAAAUGUUUAAUUUUCAACCUGUCGCAAUUACAAACUCUCGACACUUUCUCUCGCAAUGUCGAAGAUUCAAAUUUCCGAAUUUCAAAAUUCCAAGGUUUGAAGCUCUCAAACUUCGAGUCUUCGAACCUUUCGAAUCCUCGAAUUAUUCCAUUUCACGAUCGAAAACCCUUCAAAGAUAAAGAUUAAAACGUACGACAGGAUCAGUGUACGUGUUUUUACGAUUAUUAGUAUGCGCGAAGGUGAUACGCGCUCGAGGUAAAUUCGUAUCACGCUCCCACUCUUCUUACUAUCAAUCCGAUAACUCUUUGACAACGAUGCACAGAGAUUUAAAUUUCCAUUACAUCUUCCCCCUCCCUCCUCUCUUUUAAAUAUCGAUAACAUCAUUAAAAGCGACUUACACGAAGAAGAAGAAAUUAAAUACACGUUUCGAUCGAAAUCUUACGUACACAAUUUCUCUAGUUAAAGAGAACGUUCUAAAGAUUUGACAAACUUAAAAUUCACGUGAAAACUAUAAAAUAAGAAAAGAAGAACGAUUAAAAAAAGUAUGAUGGAUAAAAAUAUAAAUCGCGACGCGCAGUAGCGUGACGCGACUACGCGGAACCCCGUCCUCGAAGCAGCACCAAAUUCGGUCGACUCGCGAAUGGAAUUGGCAACCUACUGACACACUAAUCGGCGCAUCGACGAGCUCCGUCAUGAAAUCGCGUUCGCUCGAGGCCGAAUUAGGCGACCGUGCAAAAUGACUUGUUCUCGACUUGAAACCGUUCGCUCGAUGACGCAAUCCCGAUACUCCAUCGGCCUAAUUGCGUUUCGUGUCGCAACCCUCUGUACUGGAAGGAAUAGGUAUUACGAUCAACGUGAACGUUUGACCUGCCUUGUACGCGAACGAGAAUCCAUGCAGAUUUGUAAUCGUUAAUUUCAGGUGGCGAAUACGAGGUCUAACAAAGCUUAUUUAGAAUGCGCAUACAGAAAGAACCAUUUAAAUUAUCGACUUAUGAAUGAUUCAAAGUGUUGGUCAUUCGUAUACUUAAGAGAUUCAAAUUUAUCUAUUUUUCGUGUAACAAGUUUUCUUCGAAAUUCACCUUCUUCUUAUCUUAAUUACAUUUAAACUGCUAAUUCGUAAAGGAACAUUAUACGCUAUGUUCCAGAGAAUCGGACGGUCAAGAGAUUCGAAGAUUCUCUUUCCAAGUGUUUCAAGGCUCUGCGAUAUUAUAAAUAUCACGAGAAUUUUCGUUUACUCAUUUGUUAUUCGUUCAACUUAUACGAACACGAACCGUUGUUUGGAGGAAAAAUUAUAUACAAAACAAACGAAAAGCUUUUGAAACGCGUCAUACAUAUGAACGAAUGAAUCACUGGCUCUUCAAGAAUGAAAGAGCGCGGCUAGCUGCUGGGGCAUUUUAAAACUAAGCAAGAACGUUCAGCUGCCUUGCUGUCUGCAAGACAAGCGGCCUAGAGCUGUUAGACAAAACCAGCGACAGAACCGUUUAAGGAGACGCGAAGAAAAAACUGGCGGACGCGAUGAAAGAAUCGGAUCGUCCCGAAAGGGAAAUUCAGUCGUCGUCGAUCGGAUUCCAGAGCGCAACCAUACGAAACGGACUGGAUGCGCAGAAGAGUCCAGUGGCCGAGUCAAUCGACGCGCAACUGACUGAAAAUCGGCUGGUGCUUGCACAGUGGUUAUAAAAAAGGCGCGUGGAAAGGCCGGGGCCGACGAUUUUAGAGGCCAUUCAACGAUCGCGAUAGAUCCGCCGGGAUGAGUCAGAAAACGCAUUAUGUAUUUAUAGAGUUCUCUCUCUGCUCUUCUGUUUCUGCCGUGGGACGAAGUGAAUCACGCGCUCCACCAGAUGAAAAGUAAAAGAGAGAAAGAGAGCAAUUUACGGUCGACCAGAGUGGCGAGAAAUUUUACGCACGUCGUCUUCCGCCGCCUUUUUGCCCCCGCGUCCUCCUUUCGUACGAAUUCCUUCCUUGUUACGUAUCUGUUAUGCGGCCGAGAGUUUUGGUUUCCAACGCGACAGAACCUGACCGAAAGUGGGUCUGUAAUCGCGCCGUUGCGCGUUACCCGGGGAAAGCUUACAUGUGCAGCUUUCUUCGGCAGCUGUAGCUCGCGAUUCAAAGAUCAGCCCCACACCGUACAGCCAUUUUUGAUAUAGCGAACUGCGGAUGUUCGUGCAUUUGUAGAAAAUUAGAGGUGCAAGGGUGCACCGAAGGUUUUACGCGAGAUGCGAUAUAUUUAUUUUUAGUUUUUUUUUUUUUUUCUUUUCUUUUCAGUUAUACAUAUAAGAGCACGAAUUCGCAGCGACGUCUGCGAUCUAUUUAUUAGUUUGGUUACAGUGGCAAGGUAAACGCGUUGAGAAUAGUCUGGGUGGGAUUGGAGAUUAUAAAUGUACGUUGACUAAUGUAAUCUUCGUGAAAGAGAUAUGGAUUUUCAUUGCCAAGACAGAAGUUUGGGGAACUCUGAACAGAAAUAUGCACCCGAGUGUUGUUAGGAACAUAAGACAUCAGCCCAUUAUAGUAGUACAAGAAGGAUUGUUUCCUUUUUUUUCCAGCUGCAGGUUAAUUUUAACCGAUACGUACGGUAUCUAAUUACGUGGAAUA